GGCUCAGGACGAACGCUGGCGGCGUGCCUAAUACAUGCAAGUCGAGCGGACGAUUCAAAAGCUUGCUUUUGAAUCGUUAGCGGCGGACGGGUGAGUAACACGUGGGCAACCUGCCCUGUAGACGGGGAUAACACCGAGAAAUCGGUGCUAAUACCGGAUAACACGAAGAACCGCAUGGUUUUUCGUUGAAAGGCGGCGCAAGCUGUCGCUACAGGAUGGGCCCGCGGCGCAUUAGCUAGUUGGUGAGGUAACGGCUCACCAAGGCGACGAUGCGUAGCCGACCUGAGAGGGUGAUCGGCCACACUGGGACUGAGACACGGCCCAGACUCCUACGGGAGGCAGCAGUAGGGAAUCUUCCGCAAUGGACGAAAGUCUGACGGAGCAACGCCGCGUGAGCGAAGAAGGCCUUCGGGUCGUAAAGCUCUGUUGUUAGGGAAGAACAAGUACCGCAGUCACUGGCGGUACCUUGACGGUACCUAACGAGAAAGCCACGGCUAACUACGUGCCAGCAGCCGCGGUAAUACGUAGGUGGCAAGCGUUGUCCGGAAUUAUUGGGCGUAAAGCGCGCGCAGGCGGUUCCUUAAGUCUGAUGUGAAAGCCCACGGCUCAACCGUGGAGGGUCAUUGGAAACUGGGGGACUUGAGUGCAGAAGAGGAGAGCGGAAUUCCACGUGUAGCGGUGAAAUGCGUAGAGAUGUGGAGGAACACCAGUGGCGAACGCGGUUCUCUGGUCUGUAACUGACGCUGAGGCGCGAAAGCGUGGG
rnacentral:rRNA from 1 species